rnacentral:tRNA from 3 species
GCGCCCGUAGCUCAGCUGGAUAGAGCACCAGAUUCCUAAUCUGGGGGUCACAGGUUCGAGUCCUGUCGGGCGCACCA